rnacentral:rRNA from 1 species
UGCCAGCCGCCGCGGUAAUACGGAGGGUGCGAGCGUUAAUCGGAAUUACUGGGCGUAAAGCGCAUGCAGGCGGUUGAUUAAGCGAGAUGUGAAAGCCCCGGGCUUAACCUGGGAACUGCAUUUCGAACUGGUCAACUAGAGUCUUGUAGAGGGGGGUAGAAUUUCAGGUGUAGCGGUGAAAUGCGUAGAUAUUGGGAAGAACACCAGUGACGAAGGCGGCUUUCUGGCCCAUUCUUGACGCUGAGGCGCGAAAGCUAGGGGAGCGAACGGGAUUAGAUA